AUUUGAGAGAGGGCAAUCCAAUCCAAUCCAAUUCAACUAUUGCCUUAAAUCAGAUUAUAGUUUUCUUGGGCCUCGAUAGAGAGAUGAAGUCAAAUGGGCCAUGAUUAGAGAUAUGACCACUAUCUGCAAUAGUGCAAUGGUAGUGCAUAGAUGAGGUGCAUGUUUUCUUCUUUGUUCUGUCAUGUGUGUUACGUCAUUUGGACUUGAGACCUUUCUGUGAUGGAUGUGAAUCUGGUUUCCUAAUUUGGAUGCAGACAAGUAACACAUAAUUUAUUUGUGCGCUUAAAUGAACUAUAGAACUUAAUAUUAUUUAUGUGCUUGCUCCAUUAAUUUAGUUUAUCAGCAAACGCUCACUGCUACUCUGCUAGACUAUUGAACAUCAGCAUCAGUGCUAACUGGCUUGGUGCUUCAGUUCUGUUAGUAAAUAAUGUAAACUUCAUUAUAUUUUUUCUUCUAAUAAUUUCAUAGAUUUUGGGCAAUCUAUAGAUUUUAUUGUUAUCUGUUCAUAUUACAAUCCCAUUUUGAGGAAGCAAAGAAUGUGCACUGUUCAUUGCUUUCUUUUCAAUGCUACCCUGUGGCCUGUAGUUAAUUCUGGUAUGCUGAAAUACUUGCAGAUCAAUGGGUUCAUAUGCUAUGCUGUCUGGGAUACCAGUCCAUGAUAAUUUUGAGCUAUUUAAUACCAUCUAUACCGACUGAUCAUAGAAGAAUAAUUGUUUGUUGAUUGAGCUUUGCGCACCAGGUCUGCAUCAAUUUCAGUCAAUUUCAAGGUUCUGGAGAAUGCUACUUUGUUUUUCACCGACACAGCUGAUGCUGAUCCAAGACACAUAUCUUUGCUAAAGCCAAGGUAAAUUGCUUCAAGUGGAGGCGUCCAUGAACCAGGUGGCCAGAAACUAGAUGCGCCUCUACGAUCUGCCCUCCAAGCUACUCUGCCGUGUGCUCAACGUCGAGCUCAAGGUUCCUCCUCUUCCUGCUGCAGAGAGGUGCUGCACUAUGGAUUCACCUGGCAAUCACAUGAAGUGUUCAAGAAAAAUCACAUAGG